rnacentral:lncRNA from 1 species
GAUACAAAAAAAGGAAAAAGAUUAUAUAUCGGAAUCAGGAGAGAUAUGAACCGCAUGCAGAAUCUGAUUGGUACACAUUGGAUGGUCAAGAGGAAGUCAACCUUGGGUGAGGAGGGUCCACGGUAGGACGACGGGAAGUGAUGUAAUACGGCAGUCAGGCAUGCUUUGUCUCCGUUUUCGGCGUCCCUUCUGAACCGAUUGAUUGAUAGACGCAAGGCACCACUUGAUGCCACUUGCUCAAUUAUUGCAAGAGUUAGGUACUGAUGCAACCGUGUGUCCGCCACACGAUUGCCAAAUCCCUCUCUUCCUUUUUCUUUUUUUUGUUGGGAGAUUUAGGGAAAAAUAGAAAACGCAAAUUG